UUCAUAUUCCAUAAAUUGAACGUUUUGAUAGGUUUCCAUAUCAUGCAUGUCAUAUUUAACAAAGCCAUAUGUGCUGUACUUUGUUAUAGAUAAAAUUUUUAACUUGCUACUCUGGCUUGUGACAGAAUAUGCAGUCCUAGAUCAAGUGUUGUGAUGUUUUGAUUGGAGGAGUGGCUCAGUGGAUCCCAAUCCUUGGAGCUGGAUGAGUGGAUCGAUUAGGGAAGGGAUAGGCAAGGAUGGAUGCUCGGAACGGGAUCAGUUUUCCAGGAUUCAAAUGAGUUGAAUUCAGAACUAAUUAACGGGAGUCCCAGAGCAACUUUUUUUCCCCCUAUUAGGCCCCUCCAUGCCUAUUUAAAGUUUUUCAGUGGUAAUGGCUUUAUUUUACAAGAAAACGAAACUGAGGACCAGGAAGUUGGAUCAAAGGAUGGAGUCGUAGAUGCCUGGUAUGAAGGAAUUAUAAAUUUGGGAGGUUGGGAGGGGGUUUCAUGUGGGAGUAGUUUGUAUGUUUUAUUUUAUUAUGCUUAAUCUGACUUUUUUUUUCUCUUAGCAUUUUCAAUAAAACAUUUUCAAACAAGGA